UAAAACGUAGGACACGAGCGUUAUCCGGAGUUACUGGGCGUAAAGGGCGUUCAGGCGGGUGAUUAAGUUCGCUAUGAAAGCGCCGGGCUAAACCCGGCGAGGCUGGCGGAUACUGAUCAUCUGGAGUGAGUCAGAGGAAGGUAGAAUUCCGCGUGUAGUGGUGAAAUGCGUAGAGAUGC
rnacentral:rRNA from 1 species